rnacentral:lncRNA from 1 species
ACAUAAUAGAACAUGCAAACUCAGAAUAAGGUGGCUAUACGUUGCUGAAUCUGCCGUCAAUUUUUGCUCUCAGUGUGAAGAAGGUUGAUGCAAGGAGGCUGGAUGUGGAAGAAAGAUGAAUGCAGAGAGAGAAGGGAAGAGAAGAUGGCGAGAUGCGGCGUUGUUAAUGGUGAGAGAGAUGGUGAGAUGUGGAAGGCAUGGGUUGUAUUUAUAGGAGGGCUGAAGGACGAAUCCCAGAUGGAGAGGGAUUAGGGUUGCAAGCCUGUACACAACUGGGAGAUAAGAAAAGAUAUGGAGGGAGAUGCCUAUCUCCUUGUUGAAUCCUUAUGGGAUAAGGAUUACAUCUGCUGUGGCCCAAAAUCACGUCCAGGUUCAUUGUUGUAAUGAGGAGGGAGACUUCCUACUGAUAUCCACACCUGUG